GUUAAUAAAUAUUAUAGUCAGCACAAUGAUUUCCUAAAUUAAUCAAUACCAAUGUGCUUUACAAUAAUUCCAUUUCUUUGUAGUACCAAUAAACGAUCGUAUACAUAGGUUUUAAGAAAACAUAACAUUAACUUUACAGUUUUGUAUGCCAAACAGUCACGAUAGUAUUCUGACAAGAGAAUAAUAAUGACAAUAUUUUAUAACGGUAGACCGAGCGUGGUCCGAAACAUCAUGAGCGCGAACAUUGGCCGCUAGAUGUAAUUUCUCUGUACUACUAACAGAAAAUCAUAAUGCACUGACUAAUUGUUCCUACAGCAAAAUAUUUGUGAGAAUUCUCAGACGCAAAUGACGAUUAUUAAGAUCUAUAUUAUUGUAAGUACCCAAACGAUAGCAUAAACAAUCUUUACUCUUUACAUACUCUCUUGAUAUACAGUUAUAAAACGCAUCAGCCCACUCGUUUUUUUACUAGUGGGUCAUAAAAGCAAUAAUAAUAAUAAUAAAGAGUGGAAAAAUCUGGAGACGUGCGUUAUCUCUUUAAACGCACAGACAAUGAUUCAAUGCAAGUGUUUGUGAUGUUGAAACCAGAUCAUAUUAUGCCGGGGGGACACAGCAUGAAGGUUCCUAUGGAAUUAAAGUAACUCAUACGAUAUCAUUUUAUUUUGUAUUAUUUUUUGCUGCCUGUGUAUAAAACAUUGUUAAGCUCUUAUGCAUUCAUAGAGAUUUUAAAGACAUUCUACAAAAGCAACGAAACAUUAGAUACACUAUGUAAUUUCGUUAAUCACUUAUUGAGAAAAAAAUCGUAGAAAAUAUGGCUUUACAUUGAGUAUAGAUGUAUCUUACAUCACUAAAAUUAUGAUUAUUUUCAUUUUAAUAAGUAAAUGAGUAAUAGCGAAUAACAAGGUAGAUUUUGUUCAAAACCCACAUGAUCAUAAAAUGACUACCUUUAUAGCGUAAAUAUAUCAUACCUAAUAUUUAGCAUGAAUUAUACGGCAGAAAACCUUAAUAAAAAAACUCUUAGCAGGUACAUCUACGAUAAUUCAAAGAAAAAUUAUUAUUCACAUACCACGACAAUAUUCCGUAAAAAAAAUUUGGAAAACCUAACCAAGAUUAAAUGAAUCUUAAGACAUACACACAAAUGGACAGAGAAAAUGUGACUCUUAACUUUUUAACCCAUAGAGUCCAUUUUGGAAUUUAUCUAUUAUUAACAAGUAGGUAGACGAUUUGUAAAUGUCUACUGUAAAAUGAAGUAAGAAUAUUAAAAGGAUAUGUAUAGGUAUGUAUUUUAUAUUUAGCUUACGUUAAUAACUUUUACGACACUGUUGAGUUUUAGGCAUUUUGUAAGAAAUUAAUUGCAAGCAGUUAGGAUUAUUUAUAUAGAUAGUGUCUAUUUUUCCAUCAUUAUAAAUGUUGGCAAUGUAUCAACGAAAUUCCAGACGAAAAAUGUUAAGAAGAAUAAAUCCUAAGAAAUUUUGAAGUGCUCCAUAUUUGUUGUUAAAAUUUUAUAAUAAUUUAUGUAAAUAAAAAAUCAAUUGACUAUUGAAA